GGACCUCCAAUCAAGCAGGGCUACCCGCUGAAUUUAAGCAUAUAACUAAGCGGAGGAAAAGAAACUAACCAGGAUUCCCUCAGUAACGGCGAGUGAAGCGGGAACAGCUCACCAUGAGAAUCUGAAAGGUUUUUCCUUUCCGAGUUGUAGUCUCUAGAAGCGCAGCCAGCAGACGGAGAGGGUUAAGUCCCUUGGAACAGGGCGCCUGAGAGGGUGACAGUCCCGUUCAUACUCUCUCCAUUCUGCGUACGGCGUGCUCUCAGUGAGUCGAGUUGCUUGGGAUUGCAGCUCAAAGUGGGUGGUAAAUUCCAUCUAAGGCUAAAUAUGGGUGGGAGACCGAUAGCGAACAAGUACUGUGAAGGAAAGAUGCAAAGAACUUUGAAAAGAGAGUUAAAGAGUGCCUGAAAUUGCUGAAAGGGAAGGAAAGGAAGUCAGUGUGAUU
rnacentral:rRNA from 1 species